GCCUGAUACAUGCUACACGUUGAGUACAGUGUGCUGUGAUCUGUAUAGAAAUAACCCGUACACAAAAACUGGCCGGGACUGCAGUGGAGGAGACGAUUACAAAUAUUUUUGCACUGCUGUCACGGGCAAUUUAUAUGUCAGUCUCGGAGAGGAUGUUAACGGUCAAAACUUCGAUUGGUCAACCCUUGAUAUUCACGUCUACAUGACAAACUACUAUAAUCAUGAUUAUGAUCCUGGUUAUUAUGAUUAUUCCGAUUAUGGUCUCUGGUUUGUCAACGGAGCCUCUUGCACCUUUUGGAUGGCCAAAAGUAAAGUGCAUAGUUUGCCAUGUAGUGUAGACCCAACAUUUGAGUCCAGUUCAUACCCGGCGGAACUCCAGAUGCGAAAUUUGAAGCCAGAUAGUGUGUAUACGCUCACUAUUGAGAACUUUUAUUCUUCAGAUUGGGGAAUUUAUGAUAUGGUUGGAGGAAAUUUUACAAUAUGCACUUCUUCAGACACAUAUUCGAGGGCGAGGCGUUGGAACUUGGUCGCCGAAGGUCAAAACGUAUCUUCUACUACUGACUCCAUAAACAUUCCGCCCCAUUUUUUCACCACUGAACUGUUCAACUUUGCUUCUAUUGGAACUCUUAAUGAAACCGAAGAUUUCGCUGCAAGGCUCUGGAUUCCAUUUGAUAAUACAGUCGGCGAUACUUAUCACGACUUGUCUGCAGGCAAUCAGUUCUGGAUGAAUUUUGAGUUUCCGUCUUUUA